CACCACUGUCAGGCCUGACCUCAGGUGUUUUGUUAUAGUCCUUUAAUGCUGACCCACACAGGUAUGUGUGUGUGCUUCUAUGUGCCUCUAUCACGAACGACACUGUGUUUGGGGCCAGGGCGAUGAAUAAAUGCUCGUGUGUGUGCAAACUUGAGGGCCUGGGUUCGCACCCAGAUAAAACCAAGCAAAAUGGUAAAAUAUCCUGGCCUGAGAGACAGCGUACUUAUUUCCUCAGAUGUGAUGGUAUCUGCCCUGUGGCUUUCUGGGUGAAAGGGCAUGCGAGUUUGUGGUUUUGGAGACGUUGCUGAGUUGCUGAUAGGAGCAGCUAGUGUUGACAAAGCAAGCAAGGCCCUGGUUUCUACUCAGGUGCUCAAAGUUGGCACAAAAGGACUUUUCUCAAAUUUUUAAGGUUUCAGAUGCUGAUCUUUCCCCAAAAAGGUACAGGGGUUGAAAGAUACAGGAAAGAGAAAGAGAGGGAGGCAUGGGGAGAAAAGGUGGUGGCAGAAAUGGAGGGGGAAAGAGAAGGAGAAAAGACCAAGAACCUAGGAGUCACCGGUGACUCAUGGCUAUGAUCCUAGCACCCAGGGACUGAGACGGGAGGGGCCUGUGAAGUGGAUUCCAGUAGACUCAUUGCAUCUAGGCCAAACAUUAGAAUAAAAUAGUUCUUUUCCUUCUUUUUUUUUGAAAGUGUGAAGAGACAUUUAUUCAAGACUUCUGUAUUUCUCACAAUGCUUUAAACGUCUAAUAAAAUCCCGUCUAGCUUUCACAUGCUUAAAAUAGCUGUUUUCUAAAAGUACUUAGACCUUGAGGAAAUCAUGGUGGAAAACUGAUUGUUCUCUGUUAUUUAUAGAGUUGUUUUCCUGAAGGAGCUAGACAGCCUUGCCUUGACUUUAGUCACAAAAACGGGCUGGCAAGCCUGGAAUGUCUUGCACUAUUGGGUACUGCAAACAGUGCACAAGGUUUCAGGGGUGGUGGUUUUGGUGUGCGUGACGUUUUCCUUCAGAAAACAUGAAUCAGAUCAGGGCUUUUGUAUGAGGAACUUGUUCCCAAAAAGCAACUUUUGUGCAACAUCAAUACAUGUGCUUCUGCAUGGCUGUUGGAGUUCAUUGAGGCUGACAUCCCAGCUGACUCAGAGCCUGGGUUACGACCUGGAGUGACCCCUUUCUCAGAACACUGACAUGCCUGGACGAUGGGAGCUUGGCCGAUUGGUUAGUUGUGGAUUUCUGCAUCUGCUUCCAUCUGUUUCUGGAAGAGGGUUCUGGCUUCUCUGGGUUUGAGGAUUGUAGGCUGGAUAUCUUUUGCUUUAUUUCUGGCAUCCAAUUAUGAUCCUUCAAGGGAUGUUCCUGUAUGUGGCAGUCGGGGCUCAAGCCAGUUUAACUUCUCAACAGAGUCUACUUAACUCCCCAUGGAGCAGACCAGAUCUUGCCAUUCAUCCAUUCCUGCUUCCGGACCAGGUUCCUGCCUUGACUUCCGUUUUCGAUGGAUGGACCAUUACCCAGAAGCCUAAGAUAAAAUACACCUUCUCCGUCCCUUCUCCGUCCCGAGUUGCCUCCGGUCAUUGUGUUUUACCACAAUAGAAACCCGACUUCCACACCUGACUUUAAACCUCCAUUCUUUAUAAGUUAUCCAGUCUCAGGGAGUCUGUGAUAGCAAGAAAAAACAGUCUGACACAGGUUACUAAUGACUGUGCCAGAAAUGCCCUGUUGGGCCCUGCCGGGGGUUGUGAGUCUGAUUUCUGAGAACUGGGCUGCACUCACACUUGACUUGGUUGUGCUCUGUUGAAAUCCCGUGGGGCUUGCUGUUGUCCUGAACCUCAGUGCCUUGAGUUGGCGCAUUCCUGAUGACCAAGCUGCCAUCGGUGCGCUGUAUGUCUUGGCUGGUGUGAGGAUGUCCCAGAAGGCCCUAGGGAGAGAUCGUGGCUGGUGGCUGGGCUCCCGGCUCUCAGAAUCAAGAAGUGCUGAGAACUCCAUCUGGGGACAGGCAGGUGGGUGCCCGCUCCUUCCCUCCUUCUGUCUGCAUCUACUUAAAGGCAAUUGUGCAGGUGCAGGAGGUGAGCAGGCUACCUUCAAGGAGGCAGGAAGGAGGAGGGGACAGCAAGGAACAAGUGGGACCACAAGUGACAUGCUACCUACAAGUGUUACCUGCCCACAAAGGAACCCAAUGGUGCACGGGCUGGAGAAAGUGGUGCUGUUUUGGAGAGGCUAUGGAACCCUAGGACAGACAUUUUAUGUGUAUUUAUUUAUUU
rnacentral:lncRNA from 1 species